rnacentral:rRNA from 1 species
UACGUAGGGGGCAAGCGUUGUCCGGAAUUAUUGGGCGUAAAGAGCGUGUAGGCGGCCAGAUAAGUCCGCUGUGAAAUCUCGAGGCUCAACUUCGAGCUGUCGGUGGAAACUAUCUGGCUAGAGUCCGGAAGAGGAGAAUGGAAUUCCUGGUGUAGCGGUGAAAUGCGCAGAUAUCAGGAGGAACACCAAUGGCGAAGGCAGCUCGCUGGGACGGUACUGACGCUGAGACGCGAAAGCGUGGGGAGCAAACAGG